UUGUUGGAAAUUACUGUUUUGCCAUCACUUGUUGUGACCUUGAAAGAUAGGGUUUGGCCAUUAAGGUAAUUGUUGCUUUGCCAAUUUUGCCCCCAGUUUCUUGACAUUGGCAUCCACCCUGUUCUUGAUCCUUUAAUAGCCACUGAAUGUACAUCUCCAGCACCUCCCACGUUUGUUACUAGAACUAAAUUGAAGUAGGAAUGUCCAUUGAUUGUGAACCUAAUUCCUCCCCUUCUUCUGCAGGGUACCCUACAUAAAUCCACAAAAAAGUAAAUUAAUUAUUUUUAAUAAACACCAGAAUUAAAUUGCCUACAACUUAGUUAUUCCUUCUGUUUCUUUCUAUGUGUCCUUUUUUAUUUUUUGUAAAAAAUAUUUUAUUUUUUGAAAUUGUUUUUUAAUUUUUCUAUUGUUAAUUUCAAAGUUUAAAACAAUAUUAAUUAUUAUUUUAUAAAAAUUAUGUUUUUAGAGAUCUGCAAUGAUAUAAUUAACAUUUAACAGUUAAGAGUAAGAUUAAGAAAUUCAUCAAACAAAUAUAAAAAAAAUUAACUAAUAAUAUUACCAAAAAAAAUAACCUUAAAAGUUAAAACAGUAACUAAAAAUAAUAAAAGGAGUAAUUUCAUGAAUCAACAACCCAUUUAGCAAAAAAAACAGCAUUUUCACACUAAAAUUACCAACUCCAAAAGGAACCCCACUUACUACCUAGAUAAAGUUAAAAUCUAAGAAACUACCAUGUAACUAAAAACAUAAAAAAUAGUUAGGAAACUUCCAAAACCAUGUGAUUUAAAAAUAGAAAUAAAAAAACCUAUUUUACAAUCUGAAAGUGACAAGGAGAGCAAGCAGCCCAAUAUACAAAUCAAAUUCAAAAGUACAACAAAAAAAAUUAAAAAAUUAUAAAAAUAAAAAUAAAAUAAAAAAGUUACCUUCUGUAAGAAACAGGAACAAUUCCAGCUUUGUAUUGAGCAAUUCUCAGAAAAACAGGUUGAGCAAGAUCAAAGUGAUGCAAAGGAGGGUUACACCACCCACCAUUAUU
rnacentral:lncRNA from 1 species